rnacentral:tRNA from 1 species
GGAGGAAUACCCAAGGGGCUGAAGGGGCGGGCUUGGAAAGCUCGUAGGCUGUAAAAAGUGCGAGGGUUCAAAUCCCUCUUCCUCCGCCA